rnacentral:lncRNA from 1 species
GAACUCCGCCUCAUGCAGGAUGCCCAGGGCUCGGAAGCAGUAAGGAGGAUGCUACAGAAAGGAACUGCAGAAAGAAAAAAAGCCACAUGGUUAACUUUUCCCCUGGAGGGCAAAGGGGUCCGGCUCUCAAAAAGAAAAGCCAGGCACAGAUCCCAACACCAAGUGUAAGGCAGCACAAAGUGGGUCUGAAACCCCAGGACCGGGUCAAAGGCCUUCCGAAGGCCCGAGGUUCUUGAGGAGGGGAAGCUGAUAGGGCCCUGGUCUUUCUGCACCAGCGUGGCUCUUUAAAAUACAAAACACCCACAAAGCCAAAAACCCUGAAACAUGUUCUUUAGCUAACCCCUUCCCUGCCCAGAUGCCUGCAAUUCUGAGAAUUCACUUCAGUUUUGCCAGAUCCAACCCCUAGGCUUGAGGGUGGAGAGCCAGGCCUCCUCAGGGUCCCUUCUAGGCUCCCAGGCCCACCUUAGGCUUUAAUUGCAUUGGCUGUUUCUUAUGGUGUUAGUGAAUUUUGCAAAGAAAGCCCUGAGCAUUGCAUAAAUGCUUGGGGGCGUGUCAUUUAAAUGGAAGUUCUCCAAUAGUGGCUGAAGGCAGAGUUUACUGUUAUCCCUCCCUCUUGCUGGCUUUGCUGGAGGGCUUUUAUCAGAGAGAUUGGAGGUGGGAGAGCACUUUUAAAGCACACCCCACCCCCUGCACCCGAGCGGCACCUAAGCUUCCCAGAGACCAUGACCUUGUAUGUGGCUGGAGGCCUCAGGCUUAGGGAGCAGCCUGAAGCCUUUGCUGUCAACCCUCCCAGGAAAGAAGCCGGGCCUCAGGCUGAGGAAAAACAGAGUUUCCUCUCCAGAGGGCUCAAUGAGCAGCCAGGUAGUGGCCUCGGGCAGUCCUCACCAGGGGGACACCUCCCUGCUUUGCAUUAACUCAUCAGCAAGCUCAUCGAGAGCUAACGUGGGCCCAGCAGUCCUGUGCUUGGAAAUGAUGCCGUCACCUCCACACUCCUGCUGUUCCAGCCUCUGCAGGUGAAGCUGCAAGGUGAGCAGAGGCAGGCGUGGGGACACACUCUUCAAGGACUGCACUGCCCCUUCUCCCUCCUGAGAGCUCUGUGCACUGGGUUUGGGGAUGAGGCGCCAGCCUGGUCAGGGGAGGUGACUGUGGUCCUUCUGACCAGCUUGGAUCUUUAAAAUAAUCACAAAAAAGCUCAGCCUGAGCAGGUGGGUGCAAGGCUCAGGGGCCUGUGUUUUUCAUCAAUCAGUUUUCUUCCUGCAAGAUUCUUAGAGCUGGAUGUUCACGGGAUCAUGGGGCAUGGAGGUGGUCACGCUCAGACAGUCAUGCACCACCCUCAAUCCCAGGCCCUGCAGAGAUAGGAAGAAUCCCAACCAGAGGGAUUCUUCCCCAAACGUUCCCUUGUGGCCCAAGAGUGAGUUCCGGCCUGAGUGCUGUUAUGACUGCCGGCGUCUCUCCGACUGCCUCUCGCCUCAGUUUAACCAUCUAUAGGUUAGGAACAAAGAAGGGCUUAGGCAGCCAUCGUUUCCCCAUUUCUGUCAGAGCCAAGGGCUUGGAGGCCCAGCCCCAUCCGGGCAAGGGCUGUCCGCUCCUGCCCAGGCCUCACCUCCUCGCUGCAGCUGGCAAGAUUCUUUCUAGCAGAACAGAAACACUGGCCCCCAAUUCCACUCUCCCCUCCUGAUGCUACCGCAGAGGGCAGAAAGGUGCCCUGUAGCGUCCACCAUGUGUGUGUCCUGAGUUUCCAGUGCAAGUCAUCUGGAUUUGCAUUUAGCUAGGGAAACUCGGCCCUCAAACCCUCUCCCUCUCUGCCUGAAUUUGCCAAAAUGCCAACCAUCCGGGCAGGUGUGGAUGCCACAGUCCAUCCCCAUUGCAUUUCACCCCCACAUGGACAGAGGCACACACUCGCACACAUUCCCAGCACCUUUGACUGCUGGGGGAUGCAGGCCAGGGUCUGCCUGGAGCCUCAGGGUUGGGACUUAUCUCCAAAGGAGCCCACACCCCCUCUUCCAGGAUGGGCACUGGCUGGCAGCACUUUUUUCCCUCAUCACAUCCCUGACCCCUGCCCAGCCCACAUGCACAUGCUGUUUCCUGUCUCCAGGGCCCUAGCCUGUGGAUCUCUUCCUCCCAUGCACUCCUAGGGUGAAUGGGCUCAGCACCAAACCUGGCUGUGCCCAUUCCCCACAACCCCAGCUUGGCCUCCUGUGGGAAGGAGAAGGCAGACCUGCCCAGAGGAGAGGGGCAGUGUUCCCACCCACCUGCUCCAGCACAGGAACCAGGGAGGAAAGAAGGGAGAGGGAGGUUCCAUUCACCGUUUUCUGGGUUAGCGCUUGAUUGGAUGUUUCAAGCAAGGGACAAGGUGAUGGUGGCUGUAAUAGGCUCCUCGUGGGCACCGUCACCCCAGAAGGCCUGGGCACCCAUGAGAACCUGUGGCCAGCCCUUUUCAUUGGCUGAGUUCCCUGCUGUUGUGCGUGGUGCCAUUUUUUUUUUAAACAACAUAUAUAAAAACAAAACAACUGGU